rnacentral:rRNA from 1 species
CAGGGUGCUUGCACCGCUGACGACCGGCGCACGGGUGCGUAACGCGUAUACAAUCUACCUUAUAGAGGAGAAUAGCCCAGAGAAAUUUGGAUUAAUGCUCCAUGGUAUUAUUGAGUAGCAUUACUUAAUAAUUAAACAUUUAUGGCUAUAAGAUGAGUAUGCGUUCUAUUAGCUUGAUGGUAAGGUAACGGCUUACCAUGGCUACGAUAGAUAGGGGUCCUGAGAGGGAGAUCCCCCACACUGGUACUGAGACACGGACCAGACUCCUACGGGAGGCAGCAGUGAGGAAUAUUGGACAAUGGGAGCAAUCCUGAUCCAGCCAUGCCGCGUGCAGGAAGACUGCCCUAUGGGUUGUAAACUGCUUUUAUACAGGAAGAAAAAGGUGUACGUGUACACUGUUGACGGUACUGUAAGAAUAAGGAUCGGCUAACUCCGUGCCAGCAGCCGCGGUAAUACGGAGGAUCCAAGCGUUAUCCGGAAUCAUUGGGUUUAAAGGGUCCGUAGGCGGGACAAUAAGUCAGUGGUGAAAGUCUGCAGCUCAACUGUAGAAUUGCCAUUGAUACUGUUGUUCUUGAGUGCUUGUGAAGUGGUUAGAAUGAGUAGUGUAGCGGUGAAAUGCAUAGAUAUUACUCAGAAUACCGAUUGCGAAGGCAGAUCACUAACAAUUCACUGACGCUGAUGGACGAAAGCGUAGGUAGCGAACAGGAUUAGAUACCCUGGUAGUCUACGCCGUAAACGAUGGUUACUAGCUGUUCGGACUAAUUGAGGUCUGAGUGGCUAAGCGAAAGUGAUAAGUAACCCACCUGGGGAGUACGUUCGCAAGAAUGAAACUCAAAGGAAUUGACGGGGGCCCGCACAAGCGGUGGAGCAUGUGGUUUAAUUCGAUGAUACGCGAGGAACCUUACCAGGGCUUAAAUGCAGUUUGACAG